rnacentral:tRNA from 1 species
GGUGGCUCAGUGGUAGAGUGCUUGUCUUGCAUACAUGAGGCCCUGGGUUUGAUUCCUCAGUACCA